GACGAACGCUGGCGGCGUGCUUAACACAUGCAAGUCGAACGGAAAGGCCCUGCUUUUGUGGGGUGCUCGAGUGGCGAACGGGUGAGUAACACGUGAGUAACCUGCCCCUGACUUUGGGAUAACUUCAGGAAACUGGGGCUAAUACCGGAUAGGAGCUCCUGCUGCAUGGGGGGGGUUGGAAAGUUUCGGCGGUUGGGGAUGGUCUCGCGGCUUAUCAGCUUGUUGGUGGGGUAGUGGCUUACCAAGGCUUUGGCGGGUAGCCGGCCUGAGAGGGUGACCGGCCACAUUGGGACUGAGAGACGGACUAGACUCCUACGGGAUGCAGCAGUGGGUAAUAGUGCACAAUGGGCGGAAGCCUGAUGCAGCAACGCCGCGUGCGGGAUGAGGGCCUUCGGGUUGUAAACCGCUUUCGCCUGUGACGAAGCGUGAGUGACGGUAAUGGGUAAAGAAGCACCGGCUAACUACGUG
rnacentral:rRNA from 1 species